rnacentral:rRNA from 1 species
GUUGAUCCUGGCUCAGGAUGAACGCUGGCGGUCUGCUUAACACAUGCAAGUCGAACGGGCUCUUCGGAGCUAGUGGCGGACGGGUGAGUAACGCGUGAGAAUCUGCUUUCAGGAGGGGGAUAACGACUGGAAACGGUCGCUAAUACCCCAUAUGCCUCCGGGUGAAAAGUAAUUCGCCUGAAGAUGAGCUCGCGUCAGAUUAGCUAGUUGGUGGGGUAAGAGCCUACCAAGGCGACGAUCUGUAGCUGGUCUGAGAGGAUGAUCAGCCACACUGGGACUGAGACACGGCCCAGACUCCUACGGGAGGCAGCAGUGGGGAAUUUUCCGCAAUGGGCGCAAGCCUGACGGAGCAAGACCGCGUGGGGGAUGACGGCCUAAUGGUUGUAAACCCCUUUUCUCUGGGAAGAAGACUGACGGUACCAGAGGAAUCAGCCUCGGCUAACUCCGUGCCAGCAGCCGCGGUAAUACGGAGGAGGCAAGCGUUAUCCGGAAUUAUUGGGCGUAAAGCGUCCGUAGGUGGUUAUUCAAGUCUGCUGUCAAAGCGUGGGGCUUAACUCCAUAGAGGCAGUGGAAACUGAGUGACUAGAGUGCGGUAGGGGUCGAGGGAAUUCCCAGUGUAGCGGUGAAAUGCGUAGAUAUUGGGAAGAACACCAGUGGCGAAAGCGCUCGACUGGGCCUGCACUGACACUGAGGGACGAAAGCUAGGGGAGCGAAAGGGAUUAGAUACCCCUGUAGUCCUAGCCGUAAACGAUGGAUACUAGGUGUUGCUCGUCAUCGACCCGAGCAGUGCCGUAGCCAACGCGUUAAGUAUCCCGCCUGGGGAGUACGCUCGCA